rnacentral:lncRNA from 1 species
AACACAAUAUAGAGAUGAUGUUAUAUUAUUAAACCUCUUACUCGAAUGGGAUUCUCCAAAACUAAUUAUAACUUUCAAACAAACUAACAAAUGAAAAACUAAAUUUAAGAACGAACAAAACCUACAAACCAAAAAGAAACAUGACAGAUCGUUUGACCUCCAAUCAUCACCCCCACUUUGCCCACACCAUUCAACUUAAGGCCCGAUUCUAAUAAAUAUGAAAAAAUGACGACAUAUCCAAAAUAAAAAAGAGACAAACCCUGAAGAUCGGCAACAGUCGAAAUCAUAUAUGGAUCCAGAUCUUGGUGUUAUAGAGGGUGGAUCUUAAGAUCUGGAAUGGAUCUAUUGGUGUCAUCAUCAGGAACGGCAACUACUUCCGACUCCUGCAACUACUUCCGACUCUUCCUCCGUCAUCAUCACAGCUUCUCCUUCAGCUCCCUAUAGCUUCGACGCCUCCGCCUUCAGAUUCGAUAUUCUGACGAAAGAGCCUGAAACGACGGAAGUGGACUCAUUAUAAUAAUUAGUGGCUGAAGUUGUCAUCGGAAGCGGACUCGUAAAAUAAAACAGAUCAAGAAAAGAAAUCAGAUAUGAAAAAUCAAACGGAGGAGAGCAAAUCGAGCAUAGAUGAAGACCUUACUUUGACAGAGUGUAGAUCUACUAGUUCAACAUUGCAAAAUCUAGAUUCAGAGCCAAAAUAGAGCUUCAAUCGUUGCCUUUCAUGUCCGUCGUAGCCGCCUCAUUGAUCUUCGAUUAUGUAUGUCCCUGUCGCUGCUGCCGUACAUAAUCGAAGUGUCGAUUUGAUUCGCCUUCUCUACUUGCUCAAUCAUCAUAUUUAAGUGGGGAGGAGAGUAAAAAUGAGAAGAUGAGAGAAAGAAUGAGAGGAUGAGAGCAAGGAAGAACACUGUCAAAAAGAAGAAAAUGAGAUAGAAGGUGAAGGGUGUGAAAAUGAAUUGAAAGGAGAUCUAAUAUUAAAUUUGUUUCUGUUUUAAAAUUUCACAAUUCUAAAAUUUGCAAAUGCUCUUCAUAAAAUAUCAACGGUUAAAUUGAAAGUUUUGGC